rnacentral:rRNA from 1 species
GAUGAACGCUGGCGGCGUGCUUUACGCAUGCAAGUCGAACGGAACGGCAUUGCAGAACAGUGGCGGAAGGGUGAGGAACGCGUGGGAACGUACCUAUUGGUCUAGCAUAGCCUUUCGGAAGGAGUGGGAAUACUGGGGAAACCCGCGAGGGAGACGGGCUGAGGCGUGCGCCGGUAGUGCGGGUUGCGUCGUAUGGGUUUGUUGGUGAGGUAAUGGCUUACGAAGACUAUGACGGGUGGUUGGGCUGCACUGUCGGACAGCCACAAUGGAAAUGCGACAGGGUCCAUAAAUAUACGGAUGGCAGCCACCGUGAAUCUUGGACAAUGGGGGAAACCCUGAUCCAGCGACGCCGCGUGGGGGAAGAAGGUCUUCGGAUUGUAAACUCCUUUUGGCCCGCGUAAUGCGGGCAGAAUAAGCACCUGCCAACUACGUG